rnacentral:rRNA from 1 species
GUGGGGAAUAUUGGGCAAUGGGGGAAACCCUGACCCAGCGACGCCGCGUGAGGGAAGAAGGCCUUAGGGUCGUAAACCUCUGUUGUGUGGGAAGAAGAGCGUGACGGUACCACACGAGGAAGUCCCGGCUAACUACGUGCCAGCAGCCGCGGUAAUACGUAGGGGACGAGCGUUGUCCGGAUUUACUGGGCGUAAAGGGCGCGUAGGCGGUCAUUUAAGUCAGCUGUGAAAUGGUGCGGCUUAACCGCAUCAUGCGGUUGAAACUGGAUGACUGGAGUGCUGGAGAGGCAAGUGGAAUUCCCAGUGUAGCGGUGAAAUGCGUAGAUAUUGUGAAGAACACCGGUGGCGAAGGCGGCUUUCUGGACGGUGUCUGACACUGAGGCGCGAAAGCCAGGGGAGCGAACGGGAUUAGAUACCCGUGUAGUCC